rnacentral:lncRNA from 1 species
UUUCAUAAAUGGUAGCAUUAAUGUGGCUUAGCAUUUUCAUAAAAAAAGGAAAAAAUAAUGUAUAUUUUUAUUGAUUUAUUUUAAAAUUAUUAUUAUUAUAAGGGUUUGGGGUAGAAUAAGCUGAGGGCAUUUAUCUUAUUUUAUCUUAUUUUUAUGAUUAUAUUGGAUUUCUAGUCUUUAAAAAAAGGGGGGGGAAUAUUUAAUUAUUUAUUUGUUUCUGCCCUCUAGUGGCAGCAAACAACCACUGUAGCUAAGCAGUAAAAGGGAAAAAAAUAAAAGAGGAAGAAAAGGAAGAAAAGAGAGAAAAAAAUAGUAGGAAAAAAACCAGUGCUCAAUAUUGACCUCUAGUGGCCAAGAGGCAGCUCUACAACUGGGAGGGGUUAGGGGCAUGGUUAGGGACUGCCAGAAUCCAAAACGGAAGAUAUGACUACAAAACCAGUGCAGAUUCCCUCCUCUCCCCCAUGCUGGGCUGGGCAUGGGGAAGGCAGUCUUUUUACUCACCAGCUGGCACUGAGAAUCUUUUCCUUCAGCAACAGAAAGGAUUAUGGUGGCAUCUUCUUUUUUCUCUCUCAAAGCUGAGAGACAAGUGCUUGCUGCCCAAAGAGGUGUGAAGAAAACUGGAAGAAGACUUAAGAAAUCUUUUUUUCAUUAUUCUGGCUAACUCCUUCCCAAUAGGCAUGGAACAUUGAUUUCUACCAAUAAGGACAAAAUUUCAUUCCAAUGGGCUUUGAGAGGGAGAUUACACAUAGAAAACAUGAAGGGA